rnacentral:rRNA from 1 species
CCCUUAGAUGUUCUGGGCUGCACGCGCGCCACACUGACGCACGCAACAGGUGCCUGCUCCGAGAGGACUGGGUAAUCAUUUGAGUGUGCGUCGUGAUGGGGAUAGAAUAUUGUAAUUAUUACUCUUCAACGAGGAAUUCCUAGUAAGCGCCAGUCAGCAGCUUGCGCUGAUUACGUCCCUGCCCUUUGUACACACCGCCCGUCGCUCCUACCGAUGGGUGAUCCGGUGAAUGAUUCGGACUUCAGCGGCUCCCCUGGGGUGCGCCGGAGAAAGUUUUGUGAACCUUAUCACUUGGAGGAAGGAGAAGUCGUAACA